AACGAACGCUGGCGGCGUGCCUAACACAUGCAAGUCGAACGGAAUGAGGGGGCUUGCUCCUUCAUUUAGUGGCGCACGGGUGAGUAACGCGUAGAUAAUCUGCCUGAUGAUCUGGGAUAACAUCUCGAAAGGGGUGCUAAUACCGGAUAAGCCCACGGGGACUUUGGUCUUUGCGGGAAAAGGGGGGGACCUUUUGGCCUUCUGUCAUCAGAUGAGUCUGCGUACGAUUAGCUAGUUGGUAGGGUAAAGGCCUACCAAGGCUACGAUGGUUAGCUGGUGUGAGAGAAUGAUCAGGCACACUGGAACUUAGACAAGGUCCAGACUCCUACGGGAGGGAGCAGUGGGGAAUUUUGCGCAAUGGGCGAAAGCCUGACGCAGCAACGCCGCGUGAGUGAUGAAGGCUUUCGGGUCGUAAAGCUCUGUCAGGGGGAAAGAAGUGUAUUGUGGCUAAUAUCCACGAUACUUGACGGUACCCCCAAAGGAAGCACCGGCUAACUCCGUGCCAGCCGCCGCAGUAA
rnacentral:rRNA from 1 species